rnacentral:rRNA from 1 species
UGCCCUAGUAACGGCGAGUGAAGCGGCAACAGCUCAAAUUUGAAAUCUGGCUCUCGGGCCCGAGUUGUAAUUUGUAGAGGAUACUUUUGAUGCGGUGCCUUCCGAGUUCCCUGGAACGGGACGCCAUAGAGGGUGAGAGCCCCGUCUGGUUGGAUGCCAAAUCUCUGUAAAGUUCCUUCAACGAGUCGAGUAGUUUGGGAAUGCUGCUCUAAAUGGGAGGUAUAUGUCUUCUAAAGCUAAAUACCGGCCAGAGACCGAUAGCGCACAAGUAGAGUGAUCGAAAGAUGAAAAGCACUUUGAAAAGAGAGUUAAAAAGUACGUGAAAUUGUUGAAAGGGAAGCGUUUAUGACCAGACUUGGGCUUGGUUAAUCAUCUGGGGUUCUCCCCAGUGCACUUUUCCAGUCCAGGCCAGCAUCAGUUUUCCCCGGGGGAUAAAGGCGGCGGGAAUGUGGCUCUCUUCGGGGAGUGUUAUAGCCCACCGUGUAAUACCCUGGGGGGGACUGAGGUUCGCGCAUCUGCAAGGAUGCUGGCGUAAUGGUCAUCAACGACCCGUCUUGAAACACGGACCAAGGAGUCGUCUUCGUAUGCGAGUGUUCGGGUGUCAAACCCCUACGCGUAAUGAAA